CAGGUAAAGCCACAUCAAUUGAAAUGUGAUAAGAGUUGAUUAGACUCGAAUAUGCAAACAUAUAGCUAAACAAUUAUAGAGUAACGAUGUGUGUUCUUCUACUACAGAUUCACUUUGCCUCCAAACCUGACAUUGAAGAACUUUGAAGGUCUUGACCUUGGAAAGAUGGACGAGGCAAGCAUCGAUCAGAUAGUAUCCAUUACUUAAGUCUGAAUAGUGUCAAUGAUCCACUUAAAAACUAGCUUUAAAGCAUACGGUUUGUUUCCUGAUUAUGUUCCUAAACUUGUUAUGUUUCCACCUGCAGGCCAAUGACUCUGGCUUGGCUUCGUAUGUUGCUGGUCAAAUUGACCGUACCUUGAGCUGGAAGGUAAGAGAAUACAACAAAUUUUCAGAUACCACAGCAAAACCAAAAACUUGAUUCAGAUUGCUCUAACUUUCAUCUACAAAAACAGGAUAUCCAGUGGCUCCAAACAAUCACCAACAUGCCAAUUCUUGUCAAGGGUGUUCUUACAGGAGAGGAUGGUGAGUUUCCAUUUGCCAAACAAAUAAUUUCAACACUCUAGUGUCAUAGAAAUACCUGACAAGGUCAACUAUUAUUGUCCCCAUGCAGCAAGGAUAGCGAUUCAAGCUGGAGCAGCAGGGAUCAUUGUGUCAAAUCAUGGAGCUCGCCAGCUUGAUUAUGUCCCAGCAACAAUCUCAGCCCUUGAAGAGGUAGAUCAUUCUCGACUACAAACAUAAAUCUGUGUUCUCGAUAAGUAUUUAUGUACAAGCACAUUAGCUUUGUUCUCUUGUGUUCAGGUUGUCAAAGCAACACAAGGACGAGUUCCUGUCUUCUUGGAUGGUGGUGUUCGACGUGGCACUGAUGUCUUCAAGGCACUUGCACUUGGAGCCUCUGGAAUAUUUGUAAGCAUCACAUCAUAUAUCCAUUCACCAGAAAGUUGCUUAAAAACAGUAAAUAUUUAAAAUGCCUUCUCAAUCUCAGAUUGGAAGACCAGUGGUUUUUGCACUAGCUGCUGAAGGAGAAGCCGGAGUCAAAAAGGUGCUUCAAAUGUUGCGUGAUGAGUUCGAGCUAACCAUGGCACUAAGUGGGUGCCGGUCACUCAGUGAAAUCACCCGUAACCACAUUGUCACGGAAUGGGACACUCCACGCCAUUUGCCCAGGUUAUAGAGAAGAAAAAAAAAACAGAGAACAGAAACAACACGGCACCAAAACGUAUUCAUAUUCUGAUUGAUCACUUUGCUUCUACUCUGCUAUAUUUAUAUCUCGAAAAACUUGUUUCUCCCUAUAUCGGAUCACAAAAACGUGCGUAGAGAUUCUCUGUAAUGCUAUUUGGCUACAUUUUACCUUUCCGUUUAUUCUUAUUGCUUGUACAAUAGAUGUUGAUUCCUACAAUACCAAUGAAUACUAAAAUCUGUUCCCGGAAAACUAGUAUAGUCAGAAAAUCUUACAUUGCACCCAACUUCCACAAUCCAAACACAGUUCAAAUCUUAUAUUAACAGCAGCCAAAACCUCACAGAAACUAGCUACCAAAAGAGCACAAAAGAAUACUAUAGGAGAACUCAGAUUAAGGAAAGACAGGUUUGUGAGAUUUACAAUACCUUAUUGAAGAAGAAUGUAAGCGAAUUCAUCCUUCACUUUGUGCUGGGCUAAGUAUUGCAUCGAAAAGCCCAAAAUAAUUUGGCUCACGAAUUCGAAACUCUUGGAUUUAUGCACUUUUCUGAAAAAAAAAGAAAAACGAUUGGUUUACGAAUUACUACUAUUUUUCUACGAGAUUAAGAACGAUAAUAUGUAAGAAAAAUCUAAGACACACACCAUCCAUCAGAUUUUUGUCCGUAUCUCCUCAUCAAUUCUUCACCUCCAGCUUCUCAUCCAUAUUUCUUUCUUUCCAAUGCAAACAAGUUUUCAACUGUUAAAAGAUAAACCAAAAACUCACAAGCCAAUUAAUCUAUCAGAAAUAUUUAACUUUUAACCAAAUAAAAACGUUGAGAUAUAUAUAAUAUAAGCGUUCCUUACCACUCACACACUUCAUCUCUCCCCAGAGCUCUAUUCCCAUCAAGGUGUGUGAGAUUCUCUGCUAAGACAAACCAAAAACCAGAUUGUUUUGCGUUCAUGGACAUGUUCCUCUCUGGAGAUUAGAAUCGUAGCUAUGACUAUGUCUGAAUUUCACAAGAGGUAGCUAACUCAGGCCUUUUUGCUCUUUUGACAGAAACACACUUCGGAAGAUGGAGAUCACUAACGUUACCGAGUAUGAUGCAAUCGCAAAGCAGAAGCUGCCUAAGAUGGUGUACGACUACUAUGCAUCUGGUGCAGAAGACCAAUGGACUCUUCAAGAGAACAGAAACGCUUUUGCAAGGAUCCUGUGAGUUUUUCUUUUCUUUUCGUAAGACAAGAAAUACUGUUUGUUAUUGGUUUUUACAAUAGGUGUGAUGCAUACCUUGGGCUGUUUAAUAGCUUUCGGCCUCGGAUUCUGAUUGAUGUGAGCAAGAUUGACAUGACAACCACCGUCUUGGGGUUCAAGAUCUCGAUGCCCAUCAUGGUUGCUCCAACUGCCAUGCAAAAGAUGGCUCACCCUGAUGGUAAAUACUGAGUUAUGUAGAGACUAGAGAGUGAAAACUUGUUUUAGUAUCGCUAGAGACAAAGACUAAGGCUUGUUCUAACGACUCUGUUUGAAACUAAUGUAGGGGAAUAUGCUACUGCUAGAGCUGCAUCUGCAGCUGGAACUAUCAUGGUAUGUUCUUAUAUCAUUACGAAAUAUAUCAUAUAGAGCAAGAUUUCUUCUAACCUUCUUGGUUUCCGGUGUUUGGAGCUUUUAAAUCCGUGGCCCAUGCAUACCCAUGUCUCUGGUUUAAGUUAUUUUCAUCCAUGAUGUUUCAGACACUAUCUUCAUGGGCUACUUCCAGCGUUGAAGAAGUUGCGUCUACAGGGCCAGGGAUCCGAUUCUUCCAGCUCUAUGUAAGUUAUCUCAAGAGCUUGUUGUACAUCCUGAAAACCCCGGUCACACUUGAUGGUUCUUAUGUUAUAAUCUUUGAGUAGGUAUACAAGAACAGGAAUGUGGUUGAGCAGCUCGUGAGAAGAGCUGAGAGGGCUGGGUUCAAAGCCAUUGCUCUCACUGUAGACACCCCAAGGCUAGGCCGCAGAGAGUCUGAUAUCAAGAACAGGUAAAGCCAAGUCAUUUGAAAUAUGACAAGAGUUUAAUGGAUUUUAAUACGUAAACACAGCUAGAAAGUGUAACGUUCUUCUACUACAGAUUCACUUUGCCUCCAAACCUGACAUUGAAGAACUUUGAAGGACUUGACCUCGGAAAGAUGGACGAGGCAAGCAUCUAUCAGAUACUAUCCAGUCCUAUAAUCUAAAUAUGAUUCUCACAAAGCAAGUCUUAAAGCACACUUGCUAUGUUUACCUUUCCUGAGUGUUCCUGAGCUUGUUCUGUUUUCACCUUUAGGCCAAUGACUCUGGCUUGGCUUCAUAUGUUGCUGGUCAAAUUGACCGUACCUUAAGCUGGAAGGUAAACAGAGUAGUUUAACAGAUAAACAACAAACCGAGAAGUUAGUAGAAACUUGAUUGUUGACUCGUUGUCACUUCAUUUUCACG
rnacentral:lncRNA from 1 species